rnacentral:tRNA from 1 species
GGGGCUGUGGCGCAGCGGUAGCGCACCUGACUGGCAGUCAGGGGGUCAGGGGUUCGAAUCCCCUCAGCUCCA